rnacentral:tRNA from 1 species
GGGGUUGUGGCUCAGUGAUAGAGCACUUGCCUUACACACAUGAGGCACUGGGUUCCCAUCCCCAGCAGCACAU